rnacentral:rRNA from 1 species
AGGGGGAAAAUUUAAUAAUAUGAAAAAAAAUUUUAAUAUAAAAUAUUUAAUGGGGGUUAAAGUAUAUUUAUAGAAAAAAUUUUAAAAUUUAUAGUAAAUUAGUAUUGUGGAAGAAAAUUGAAAAUAUUGAAAUAAAAAUUUAUUAAAAAGUAAAUUUUAUUUAUUGUAUCUUGUGUAUCAGAGUUUAUUAAAAAAAAUAAUUUAGUUUAAUUUAUUUCGAAUUUCAAAGAGUUAAUUAAUUAAGAAAGUUAAUGUUGCAUAAUUAUUUUUAAUAAUUAAUUAGAAAUGAAAAGUUAAUCGUUUUGAAAGAUAUCUAAUUUUUUUAGAAAAAAAUUUAAUUUUAAAUUAAUUUUUUAAUAAAUUAAUUAAUUAAUUUAUUAAAAAAUUUAACUAUAUAUUUUAGGGGAUAAGCUUUAAAUUAAAUUUUUAUAGUAAAAAUAAAAUAUUUGAAAUUUUUAAAAUUUAUAUUUUUUAAAAAUUAUAGUUUUUUAUAAAUAAUUUCAUUUAAUUAAAAUUUUAUUUUAAUAUAAUUUUUUAUAAAAAAAUAUUUUUUAAUAAAAAAAAAAAUAGUUAUAAUGAUAAAAUUAGUAUAUAAUUUAUAAUAAAAAUAAAAAUUAUUUAAAUUAAUAAAAAGGAAUUCGGCAAAUUUAUAUUCACUUAAGUUUAUCAAAAACAUGUCUUUUUGAAAAUAAUUUAAAGUCUAAUCUGCCCCCUGAAUAAUUUUAAAGGGCUGCAGUAUAUUGACUGUACAAAGGUAGCAUAAUCAAUAGUCUUUUAAUUGAAGACUUGUAUGAAUGAUUUGAUGAGAUAUAAACUGUCUCUUUAUUAAUAAUAGAAUUUAAUUUUUUAGUCAAAAAGCUAAAAUUUUUAUAAAAGACGAGAAGACCCUAUAGAGUUUUAUAUUUUAAUUUAUAAAAAUUUUAUAUAAAAGUUUGAAUUUUUAUAAAUUAAAAUAUUUUGUUGGGGUGAUAGAAAAAUUUAAAAAACUUUUUUUAAAAAAUUAACAUUAAUUAAUGAAAUUUUGAUCCAUAAUUUAUGAUUAAAAGAUUAAAUUACCUUAGGGAUAACAGCGUAAUUUUUUUUUUUAGUUCAUAUAAGAAAAAAAGUUUGCGACCUCGAUGUUGGAUUAAGAUAAAAUUUAAAUGCAAAAGUUUAAAAUUUUGAUCUGUUCGAUCAUUAAAAUCUUACAUGAUCUGAGUUCAAACCGGUGUGAGCCAGGUUGGUUUCUAUCUUUAUUAAUAUAUAAUAAUUUAGUACGAAAGGAUCAAUUAUUAAAAAUAAUUUUUUUAAAUAAAAUAUUAUUAAUUUUUUU